UUUUCCGGCGGUUUUGAAAACCCCAGAAAAGUUCCGGCGGUUAUAAGCGAAACCGCCCCUAAAUUAUUUUUUUUAUUUUUUAAAUAAUUUUCCAAAAAUAUCUACCUCAUGAUUCCCCUUCUCCUAAAAUACUUCGCGACACAUUUUUGCUCUUAAUUUUUCCUUAACCCUAAUUCUCUCUCAAUUCAUUUUUGCCUUCGUACAUUUUUCUCCAAAAAGUUCAGCAUAAUCAUUUUCUUCCAAGCCCCGCACCAUCUUUUUGUUGGUCUUCCCCUGUGUUGUGUUCGUCGUCGAGGCGUUAUGGCUGCGUAGGUCGUGUUCGCUCUCGGAAUUCCUCACAUCUGCGUAGGUCACUUUAUUUUCAUUUCAUUCCAUUCAUUGAUUCAGGGAAGAGCACGAUUACAGGUUCACUGUGUUCAAGGCUAACUUGUGUCGUGCUCGGCGCCACCAGAGCUUGGAUCCUUCCGCGGUUCACGGCGUGACUCAGUUCUCCGACCUUACGCCGACAGAGUUCCGAAAUAAGUUUUUUGGCCUGUGAGGUGUGAGGUUGCCCUACGAUGCGGAAAAAGCUCCCAUUCUCCCCACCGAUAAUCUUUCGAGUGAUUUUGAUUGGAGAGAUAACGGUGCAGUUACCGCUGUCAAGAAUCAGGGUUCAUGUGGUUCAUGUUAGAGCUUCAGCGCUACUAGGGCUCUGGAAGGGGCUCACUUUCUGGAAACAGGGGAACUUGUGAGUCUUAGUGAGCAGCAGCUUGUUGAUUGUGAUCAUGAGGGAACUUGUCUCGAAAAAUCUCUAGUGCAAGCUCCCUUGGAAGCUUGGAAGAGAGCCACUUUCUGCAAGCAUCGUUGUACUCAUCUGAUAGUAUUUCUGAUAGAAGAAACCCAGGAGAACUAAGUAUGAG